rnacentral:tRNA from 2 species
UAGUUAAUAAGCUUAAAUAAG